GGCUGUUAACCGGAGGGUUACUGGUUCGAGUCCAGUCGGGGGAGCAGGACGGGAGAAGGCCCCCUCGGGGGCC
rnacentral:tRNA from 1 species